AGGGCUCAAGCUCAGGGCUGCAUGCUAAUGAUUUUCAAGUGUGGCCACUUCCUCUUGCCUGGCCUCACUCAUGCUGGCCGAUGCCCAGAGUGGCUGCAAUGGAAAUGUAAUGUGAAGAGAGGCCAGACCAGGACGGGGAGGCCCUGUUUGGGGUUGCAGUGGAGCAUGGUGAGGUCCCUCACCAGUAGCCCUGGACUACUGUGGCAGAGGAAGAGGGUGGAGGGGAGACCUUUGCCAGCAUUGCUCCGUGUGCUCAGCCAUUCUGGACAUUCUUGCUCCCCACACAGGUGCAUUAUUGUAAGUGGGUGACAAUAUGGUAAGUAGUUGGCAGUUUGGGCUUGAGCAUAGUCCUGAUUUGGUCACUUCUCGACUAUGAGACCUCUGGUGAGUUGUUAUUUUUUUUUUUUUUAGCUCUUCUGUGCCUCAAUUUCCCCAUCUGCAAAAUAAUACUUUUUUUGGUACUGGGGAUUGAACUUGGGACCUUGCACUUGUGAGGUAGGGGGCGGAACCACUGAGCUAAAUCCCCAGCCCUGCAAAAUAAUACUUUCUACCUCCUGGGAUUUGUGGGAAUUCCAUGUAGCUACCAUGCCUGUCCUGGAGCCUGGCUGAUGGAGGGGUCUCAUGGACUCUCCCCAGCGUUGCACACUGUGGAGUACUUCGCACACACAAAGCACAGUCAUAAUGGACAGUCAGUAUGGUCGGAGUGAGAGGAUCAUCUAUUUUGGGUUUCUUAAAUGAUGAGGAUCAGCAGAUGCAGGCUGUAAUUCACAGAUGUUUCCCGCUGGGGAGGUUUGCAUUCUUGCUUUCCUGUUUCCCUUUCCCCUUUAGUUAUUUUGUGUGCACAGGCUCAUGGCAGGCAAAGGUACAUGAGUCUGAAUUCACCCUGUGUCCAGGCAGCGGAUCCGAUAACCCCCACACCUCCACUGCUGACCACUCACAGACCUGGAAGGCUGAGCUGGUUAUACGUUUGGUACCAGCAGGCAAUGUUUGAGCACAGCUGAAUACAUCCUGUGUUAAUGGUGAUCACUAAAGGAGCCGAGGACUGAAAUGUCUAGUUAGUUUUGGAAGGUUCCAGCAACUGCUGGCCGCUCCUUACGUGGUCUCCUCACAUCCCUUAAGUCCAGAUAAGCAUGCAGCCCUUUGGUAGGCUGGGGCCAUUCUGUCACUCUGCUCAUUCUGUGAGCAGCCCUCACGCUCACCCUGUGCUGGAGGAAGAGAGCUCGCUGUCCAUCCACACAGCCCAGACCGGCUGCUUCCCGUGAGACACAGAGCUGGUGCAAGCCCAGUGCAAGUGUGGGCUUGUGAGCUACUUUGGCAGUGCCUUUGUUUAAUGACUGUUGACUAAGCCCAGGUGUGCGAAACCAAUGUUUACAGAAUCCUGGUUGGGUGAGGGAUGUGGCUGGAAUGAGGAAGAUAGAUGUUCAGGGGAGGAGGGAGGUGGCGUGGAUAAUCCAAAAGCCAUUUGUUUAGGGCCUGGAGCCAGAGAAGGUGUUUUUUGCAGAUUUCCUAAGCCAACCAGACAGGAACACUUUGUAAUGAGUCCCUAUAGUGCAUGAUGAUCUAUCAGUCCUUGAAAGUCAGUUCCUACAUGUAUGGACCACUGGGGACUUGAGCAGACACGGAGCUGUCAGGGAUGGAAAGAAUCUUGGGGCUCAUUUGCCUCUCUGUCUAUUUCCAGGGAACCUAGAGGUCCAGGAGGUGAAUGGACUUCCCUAAGAUCAUUUGGCUGCUUAGUGAUGGACGUAAAACCAGUGUUCAGGUCUCCAAACUGCACCCACCUGUAGAACAGUGGUCCUCAUACUUCACCGUGCAUCCAUGUGGCCUGGAGAGCUUGUUAAGAUGCAUGUUUCCUGACCACACCACCAGAAAGUCCCACUGAAUAGUGGGAUGAAGAACGUGUUUUCUUAACAAACCCUUCAGGGGAGUCAGAUGAUAGCAGUCUCCUCCAACAUCUUCUGAUGCGCUACCACAGUGCAGAGUGCAUUUUUUUCUUGGACCCAUAGGAAAAUGUAUUUGAAUUUCCUGAAGCUACAUCGGUUGCAGUGAGGGGAACAGGUAGAUGCAAACAGUUUGGAAGACGAAUGCAGGAGAGAUUAAAUCCAGGCUUUAGCACACAUUGCAGGAGUUUGUGGUGUGUCAGGAGACUUGGGAUGCAUACUCAUUGGCAGUGUUUCAGCACUAGCUGAAUACAUCCUGUUUUAAUGGUGAUCAUUAAAGGAGCCAAGGACUGAGAAAUGUCUAGCCAUUUUUGGAAGUUUCCAUACGGCUUUGCAGGUGGAAGGGGGCAUAAUCCUGGACAACCUUUAGGUCAUAUGUGACUCAGGGUUCCCAUCUAUAAAGUGCCUGACAGCAGAAGGUGACACCAGUAGAAGGAGAUAAUGUACUGAACUACACUGUCAGGAUGAUUAGAUGAUAAGAUGCGUGAGAAACACUUUGCCUAGCACCCACUAAAGGGCAGGUUCUCCAUUAUGCAUAAAUACUGGACCAGGCAAGGGCAAGUUUCUGCUUAAUGUCUUCAGUAACAAACUUCUGCUGAAGGUUCCACUUGAGGGAAGAGGUUCUGGUUCUACAGUGAAAGAAAGUGCACAGGUCCAUCCAUCCCAGAGGGGCUGGGACACACCCACCUUCUGGCAUUGUGGUAUGUGCCUAGUACAGUGGUGACUUUCUCUGGGCCUGGUCCACUCCUCCAUCCCUCCCGAUAUCUGUGCAUCUGGGUGAACUUCAGUGACCAGACUGGACAGGUCCUGUUGCUCUCCAUAUUCUAGUAGAGCUUCUCGGCCUUUUGGCUAAGAUCAAGUGUAGAAGUGGAGACUGAGGCCCCCAAGAGCAAAGGAAACUGGUUUUGGGGCCCCUGGGAACUCUUGCCCCUUCCCCUGACUAUCAGAUUUCAAGGCCAGGCUGAGGCCUGGCCCCACACUCCCUUAGGAGCUGGGCCUGCAGGCAAUCAGGAAACCAAUGCCUUGGCCAGCGUGCCACUGUUUGGUUCCGGCCAGGUUUGCUUCAAGUCGGGUCAGCCUGACCUCACCAGGGCUGUAAAAGCCAUCGUAGGCGCAGAGGGAAGAGAAAGGGAGCGAUCCUCGCCUCAUCUGGUUCUGCCAUCAGCCCAGUGAGGGAACAGGCUUGCUGUAGGAAGGAUGAGGGUGCUGUUCAUGUGCAUAGUAUGUGUGUAUUUGCACAUGCUUAGAGUGUGACUAUUUUCAAAACGCAGAUUCAGAGUUGAGUGAAGAGAGGAACCUGUUGAACGCCUGGGCUGGAUGAUGAGAGAGUGCGAAGAAAAUCCUGGAGAAGAUGUCUGUGCCCAUGGCUGUGAAGGGCCCAGGCUGAUGUGAAUGUGCUGCACUGGGCAAGUGAGUUGGUGUGUGUGGCAGCGGGCGCAUGCGGCACAUGGGCUGUGCGCUGGAGCGCGCUGUGUGUACGCCGCACAAGGAGAGAGCCCUGGUCCAGGAGUCUCACAGUCUGGGAUCAAGUCCCAGCUCAGCAGGCACUGAGCCCUGUGAACUUCAACCCCUGCACUAUCUGGAAGUGAGAAGCCGAGGUUUCUCCUGCUUCCCUGGCCAUGGAACUCCAGAGUGCAUGUGGGGGCACUUGGGGAUGUGGG
ensembl:lncRNA